rnacentral:rRNA from 1 species
GUCUGCAUGGAGCCGACCUUGAAAUACCACCCUUUAAUGUUUGAUGUUCUAACGUGGACCCGUUACCCGGGUUGCGGACAGUGUCUGGUGGGUAGUUUGACUGGGGCGGUCUCCUCCUAAAGAGUAACGGAGGAGCACGAAGGUUGGCUAAUCCUGGUCGGACAUCAGGAGGUUAGUGCAAUGGCAUAAGCCAGCUUGACUGCGAGCGUGACGGCGCGAGCAGGUGCGAAAGCAGGUCAUAGUGAUCCGGUGGUUCUGAAUGGAAGGGCCAUCGCUCAACGGAUAAAAGGUACUCCGGGGAUAACAGGCUGAUACCGCCCAAGAGUUCAUAUCGACGGCGGUGUUUGGCACCUCGAUGUCGGCUCAUCACAUCCUGGGGCUGAAGUAGGUCCCAAGGGUAUGGCUGUUCGCCAUUUAAAGUGGUACGCGAGCUGGGUUUAGAACGUCGUGAGACAGUUCGGUCCCUAUCUGCCGUGGGCGCUGGAGAACUGAGGGGGGCUGCUCCUAGUACGAGAGGACCGGAGUGGACGCAUCACUGGUGUUCGGGUUGUCAUGCCAAUGGCACUGCCCGGUAGCUAAAUGCGGAAGAGAUAAGUGCUGAAAGCAUCUAAGCACGAAACUUGCCCCGAGAUGAGUUCUCCCUGAGACUUAGAGUCUCCUGAAGGAACGUUGAAGACGACGACGUUGAUAGGCCGGGUGUGUAAGCGCAGCGAUGCGUUGAGCUAACCGGUACUAAUGAACCGUGAGGCUUAACCUUACAACGCCGAAGCUGUU